GAUGAACGCUGGCGGCGUGCUUAACACAUGCAAGUCGAACGAAGCACUUUAUUUGAUUUCCUUCGGGACUGAUUAUUUUGUGACUGAGUGGCGGACGGGUGAGUAACGCGUGGGUAACCUGCCUUGUACAGGGGGAUAACAGUUGGAAACGGCUGCUAAUACCGCAUAAGCGCACGGCAUCGCAUGAUGCAGUGUGAAAAACUCCGGUGGUAUAAGAUGGACCCGCGUUGGAUUAGCUAGUUGGUGAGGUAACGGCCCACCAAGGCGACGAUCCAUAGCCGACGUGAGAGGGUGACCGGCCACAUUGGGACUGAGGCACGGCGCAAACUCCUACGGGAGGCAGCAGUGGGGAAUAUUGCACAAUGGGCGAAAGCCUGAUGCAGUGACGCCGCGUGAGCGAAGAAGUAUUGCGGUAUGUAAAGCUCUAUCAGCAGGGAAGAUAAUGACGGUACCUGACUAAGAAGCACCGGCUAAAUACGUG
rnacentral:rRNA from 1 species